AGGUAUGGCUCACCAAGGCUACGAUGGGUAGGGGUUCUUAGUGGAAGGUCCCCCACACUGGCACUGAGAUACGGGCCAGACUCCUACGGGAGGCAGCAGUAGGGAAUAUUGGUCAAUGGGCGCAAGCCUGAACCAGCCAUGCCGCGUGCAGGAUGAAGGCUCUAUGAGUUGUAAACUGCUUUUGUACAGGAGCAAAAAAAUCCCUGCGGGGGUUCUUGAGAGUACUGUAAGAAUAAGCACCGGCUAAUUCCGUGCCAGCAGCCGCGGUAAUACGGAAGGUGCAAGCGUUAUCCGGUUUUAUUGGGUUUAAAGGGUGCGUAGGCGGCUUAUUAAGUCAGUUGUGAAAUCCUAGUGCUUAACGCUAGAACUGCGAUUGAUACUAUUAGGCUUGAGUUAAGAAGAGGUAGGCAGAAUUUAUGGUGUAGUAGUGAAAUGCUUAGAUAUCAUAAGGAAUACCAAUAGCGUAGGCAGCUUACUGGUCUUUAACUGACGCUGAGGCACGAAAGCGUGGGGAGCAAACAGGAUUAGAUACCCUGGUAGUCCACGCCGUAAACGAUGAUCACUCGAUAUACAUGAUACUUCGUGUGUGUCUAAGCGAAAGCGUUAAGUGAUCCACCUGGGGAGUAUACUCGCAAGGGUGAAACUCAAAGGAAUUGACGGGGGUCCGCACAAGCGGUGGAGUAUGUGGUUUAAUUCGAUAAUACGCGAGGAACCUUACCUGGGCUAGAAUGUAUUUUGCUACCUCAAGAAAUUGAGGGUUCCUUCGGGACGGAAUACAAGGUGCUGCAUGGCUGUCGUCAGCUCGUGCCGUGAGGUGUUGGGUUAAGUCCUAUAACGAGCGAAACCCUUUUACUUAAUUGCCAGCACGUAAUGGUGGGGACUUUAAGUAGACUGCCCGUGUAAGCGGGAGGAAGGAGAGGACGAGGUCAAGUCAUCAUGGCCUUUAUGCCCAGGGCUACACACGUACUACAAUGGCAUGUACAAAGGGAAGCUACUUGGUAACAAGAUGCAAAUCUUAAAAGCAUGUCUCAGUUCGGAUUGAGGUCUGCAAUUCGACCUCAUGAAGUUGGAAUCGCUAGUAAUCGCGUAUCAGCAAGACGCGG
rnacentral:rRNA from 1 species